CCGGGCUAUGCUUGCCCGCGGUGAUGUGGAGUUUAGCAUUAUACCCUACCUCAUAUAUAGAUUGUAGAAAUAAGUACAAUAGAGUGGAACGUAAUACCUAACCUCCAGAACACAAAUAUUAAAAGAGCUUAUUGAUGGGCUAGGACCUCGUGCGCAUAACACCUUACAAAAGGGGCUGCAGUGUUAGAAAGAUAAUCAAAAGCAGCCCUUCUCAAUAAUUAUGAAGGCACCUAAAUCUUCUUCCCCAAAAGGUAAGACUUCUUCACCUCAAUUCUUACUUCUACACUCAGCUAUAAGAGUGAUGUGGUAAGGGAAUUCAUGGGGGGUAAGAGUUGAUUUCCUCGCAUGCAUAUCAAAACAAAGGAUAUCGAGAGAUAGUAAACUUAGAAGGAAGCAAUUGGGAUAUAAAAUGAUAUAAAUUGCUCUCUAAAGGGGCCUAAGACCACAUUGCACCUUUAGUGUUUGACAAUAUGCUUGAACCAAGCUAGAAUCUCAAUCUCAUUUCUAAUUCUCGACUUAAUUUUUAAUUCUUACCCAAUAGAUUGACAUGCUAAGAGUUUCGAAAAUUUCUAAAGGGUAAGAAAAGCUUCAUUGAGAUAUGUAUGGCUAAAACCCCCUUUUAUUAGAAAUCGAGCUUUGUUGAUGUUUACGAAUGUGUGAUAAGGUCGUAUUGGUGAAUGUAUUGAUAGUUGCUGUGUGUUAAUUGAUUUGCAAUUAUCUACAUGUUUACAUGACGGAUGUGCCUCAAUGUGUGUAACAUACCAUUCUUGAUAAUCGGAGAAGGAUAAGAAAAUAUAAUUGUAAGUUGAAAUGCUUGGGCUAUAGGCCAAUAUUGUAAUGGAGAGUUAUUCAUGCUAGCUAUGUGUUCACCUUCUUGUGAUUGCAACUUGAAUUGUUCUUGGUAUAUGUCAAUGAUCACAAACUUGUAAUAUGAAUAUUUAAAGUGGAAGACGAUGGGACAAUGGUGGCCCUGAGUGCCAAGGAAAUUGAUAUGAUAUAUGUUAAAUGAAGAUUCGGAUGUGAUGACUAAUGAGAAAAAGGAGUAAUGCCUAGGUAAGGCGAUCUAGCCGAUUGGGUCGUGAUCGGACACCAUGCCGCCCACAUGGUGGUGAUGUGCUAAUAUUGUAAAUGGAAUAGUGAUUGAGAGAUAUGCCUCCAAUGACAUGACUUAGCCGGUCGGAUCGUGACCGGACUCCGUUCAAUAUACCGGUGGUAUUGAGGACAAUGAUGAACAUAUGAAAGAAAUUCCCAAACUAAGUUUCGGAAGAUAUGUGAAAGAUCAUGUGAUUUGUAUACUUGAUUUACUCAUGUAUUUACUUGUACUUGCUUGAUAGUUCUUUCUAGUAAAAUGGUAUUUAGUUAUACAUACUAGUACUAUUCCAUGGUACUAACGUCCCUUUUGCCAGGGGCACUAUAUUUUUAUACGAAUGCUAUAGCGGAUAGUGCCGAUUCUGUGUAGAGGUGCAUCCUCCUUCAUAAAGAUCUUGGUGAGCCCCUUUCAGUAAAAUGGUAUUUGGUUAUACAUACUAGUACUAUUUCAUGGUACUAACAUCUCUUUUGCCUGGGGCACUAAAUUUUUAAAUGAAUAUAGGUGGCUCCAUAGCGAACAGUGCCGAACGUGUGUAGCGGAGCGUUCUUCUACUUGAAGUCUUGGUAAGCCCCUUUCUCUUUCAAGGGGAGUGUAUCUUUUGUUACUAUAGAUUUUCACUUUUGAGGUAUAGCCGGGGCCUUAUUGCCGGCACAGUUAUGCUUAUCUUUUGUACCCUUAGAGACUCCAUAGACACUAGUAUGGGUUAGAUACGGGUGUUCGGGGAGCCCAUCAUCUAUGUUGUAAUCCUAAAAGUGUGGUUUCCAUAAAUUGUAGUUCUAAUAGAAUCCUGGAAGCUAGUUCAUGUAUGGUGUAGUGUUGUGAUAUAAAAUGAACCAAUGACAUUAUAUACGCUAAGUAUUCUCGCCUAAAUUAAUGAAAGCAAGAGUUUCGUAUUCAUAUUGAUUUGGUAGAAGGUGUUCGGUGAGGCUUGCUCAGUCGAGUUCACUUGAUUGAGUGCCGGUCGUGCCUCGCGAGGUUGGGGCAUGACAACUGUAUUCCUUGUAAGGCUUCUUAGACCUCUGAAUAGUUGUUAGUUAAUAAUUGGACUGGUGAAGCAAAUGCCAUCACCAUAUGUCCAUUUCUGUUCCUAACAAUGCCCCCAUCUCCAGCCUUGCCUUGAUUAGCAAUAUAGCUCCCAUCGGUGUUAAGCUUCCAAAAGUUUCCUUCCGCUUUAGACCAUAUAACCACAAUGCUUUUGAGGGUUGGUUUGUAGGAUUCAACAGUCUGGCAUACCUUCCACCAAUUCCAAUCCCAACCCAUCUUACUGAAUUUAAGCCCCAUGGAUAUCUUAGCCUGUAAAAGAACUUGUUGACAACUAUUAUAGGUACAGAUUGAUUUGGUACCAUACUUCUUGCCACAUCUAGCCUUCCAUAAUUCCCACAAGACAAUCAAAGGGGUGAUCCGUAGGAGGAAUUUAUGAGCAUGAUUCUUGGUAGGAAUGGACCACCAAUAACUAAGAAUAGAGAGGAUGUUUCUACCUCUAGUCUUGAAGCCAAGGGGAGAAGAGAUAUAAUUCCAAACACUGGAGGCCACAUCACUGAUGGUAAAUACAUGGUUCAGAGAUUCAAUUUUAGGGGCUCUACAACAAAUAAAAGUAGAUAAAAUAGUAACACCAAAACUAUGAAGUGUGUCGACAAAAGGAAAUUUUUUGUAAAUAAUUUUCCAGAUAUUAAAGGAGAUCUUGAAAGGUAGUUCCUUUAUCCAUACCUUGGACAUCAUAGGCAUGUGUUCUCAUUUUUGAUGUAGGAGAUGAAGCAGAAGCACAUGUGAAAUUUCCUUGAACAUUUGGAGUCCAAAUAGCCCUAUCUUUGUAUUGUUGCUGGCCGAUAUCUACCUGGGAAAUUUUGCUUAAGAUAAAUUGGUUGACAAUGUUUUCUAAUUUCUCCAUAUCCCGACUCUGGUUGUGGAUAAAUUCACAGAACCUUGUAUUGCUGGGUUUCUGAGUGUGAUUGCUGUAUAUACUCUAUCUCUUAACAUAGAAUUGUAGAUUUUCAAUAUCACUCUUUAUUCUAAUAAUAAAGGAAAGUAAUAAUCUUU
rnacentral:lncRNA from 1 species